rnacentral:lncRNA from 1 species
GAGGUGCAUGACCACGUAUGCUUCUGCCUUCAGACAGCCAGGCCUCUCAGUAAGAGAGGCAGGAAAUGAGACAAGGAAAGAAGCAGCUGAGUCCUGCCUGGCCUUCAGCUGCAUCUCCACCGCAGAGGGCUAGUAGACGAGACCUGGCUGCCUGGAGAACUCCAUGCUCCUAACCUAGAACUAAAAUGGGCAGGAGCGCAUACUAAGUUUAGUUCUAUCUGGAAGCUCUCACCCAAAGCUUUAGCCUCAACAUUCCAGAAUAAGGACAAGACAAGGGUUACCCCCCUAACCGGUGAGAAGUAAGGAAUGUGCAGGUGCAAAAUUUUUUAUUGAUUUAUUUAUUUUAUUUUUUGUGUUUUUGCCUUUUCUAGGACUGCUCCCAUGGCAUAUGGAGGUUCUCAGGCUAGGGGUUGAAUCGGAGCUGUAGCCACCAGCCUACGCCACAGCCACAGCAACUCGAGAUCCAAGCCUCGUCUGCACCCUACACCACAGCUCACGGCAAUGGUGGAUCUUUAACCCACUGAGCAAGGGCAGGGAUUGAACCCACAAUCUCAUGGUUCCUAGUUAGAUUCGUUAACCACUGCGCCACGAUGGGAACUCCUGUGCAGGUGCAAGAUAACAUCAACCUUGAAGCUUACAGCAGAAGUAGACCAGAUGAUCUUGCUUACAGCUUUUUAGUCUGGAAACUCAGGGUCAGCCCCCUGUUGGAAGGGUGUGGUAUGUGUGUGUGUGUGUGUGCAGGUGUGUGUUUGUGUGCUGUAUAGAGAGACCAACUGCAAAGCACGUUGCCUCAGGCCCAUGAUAAUUUUAGGGGGUCCACAAAAUAUUUAAUUUUUUUUAAUCAGGAGAAAAAUGAAAUAAAGUAAUAAUGAAUAUACAAUUAUGGAUCCCUCCGAGAUUAUAUUUGCCUCCAUAGCAAUGCAAUCAUAAAAUAUUUUGUGUGUUUUUUUUUUUUUUUUAAUGAAGGAGCCCAUGAAGGCAAAGUGUCGGGCCCAUGAAAGUUGUAAUGCAGCCCUGACUGACUGGACAACCUUGAGAGAGGCACUGACAGACUAACAGAGAUUGACAGAGGCAAAGACAGAACAGAGAGAGAUGAGACAGGAAGAUACAUGUGGAGUAAAGGACAGAGACAGAGAGAGGGAGAUAAGGAAGGACUUAGCAGGAGGGAGAGACAGGCAGAUAUAUGCAUAUGUAUGUGUACGCGUGCGCGCGCGCACACACACACACACACACAAACAACUUAAUAGAUACAGUCAGAGGUAUCACAGGGCGUGUUCUGUUAGAAGGGGCCUGCUAUCACCUUAGUGUGGUGUUUUCAGCAUCCUAGGAUCAAACAUGUCUGAAGAGUUACAGGUCUCUCCAACCAUUCCCUUAUCUCCAGCCAUGGAGAAUCAGGUGAGAGAGAAGAGAGGGCCAGGCCUUCUUUUUUCCUGUGUUCCUUGUACACAACCCCAAGAGGGAGGUUUGUGCCCGUUCUUCCUUGGCUUUGAUCUUGGGUUGCACUCUUCCUCUUCAUGGGUGGCCUGAGAUUCAGCGGUCUUUCCCUUCUUCCAAAAAGUGCCAUUGUCAAUACUCGAAAGCCACUGAGCUCAUGGCUGUGCUUCAGCCAAGGCAGAUGGAAUUGCAAAAUUGAGUUGAGGCAAGAAGUGCCCCAGCCUGAGCCCUAGGACUGCUGCCUCAAUUGUGAAGGUACCAGGAGAGUGGGGCAAUUGGAACAUGAAGAGCUUGUCACUGAAUUGAAAAUCACACAGUUUCUUUUCCCUGAAAUUGUCUCUGGAAUAUAGGGUUGGCAGUUGUUUAUAAAAGGCCCAGUAAGAUACACACCAUUUGAAAUGCCCUACAAGCAACCCCAGUGAAAUGAAAUAAUUUACACUAAAAAGUGUAUAUACUUCAAUCUGCUCUGAAUUCUGGUCUUCUAAUCUUGCCAGCAGAUGGUUGUAGGAAGAAAUCAAUAAGAAAGAAAAAAAAAGAGAAGUUAUUAAACCGGAACAAGCUUGGCCUUUAUACCUUUCAGGGCCAGAGAGGACGCAGUAGGCAGGGGUAUGGUGCCGGCCUUGAGGAGCAACUGCGUUCAUGUCCUUGGUUGUGAAAAAGUGUUUUUAGGGGAAGUAAUUUCUUAUUUUGCACCAAUGAUCCCAGCAUGUGUCUGUUUGUACGUUCCUUCAUAGCCGCUAUUCAGCAUCAUUAGGGAGAGAAUUUGCUUUGUUAAGACAGUAAGGGUGGUUGAAGUUAUUUAUAAAUUUGCUUUUUGUCAGUUGUAGGUUAUUUUUCUGCCAUUUGUUGACAACAGCAGAGUAUAGGAUGGUGCAUAAAUUCCAUCAGAAAUUAAGUUAUAUGCUCACAUGAAACUGAAGCCUCCUCCCUUCCCAAGCUAACAGCUCUUCUGAUUUUUGAUUCAUUUUAGUAGGUGUGAGAAGCUCAUUUGUUUAGAAGAUGAAUAGUUUAUCUAGGAUCAUCUGGUGGCAGCAGGUUAAUUAAAAAGUGCCUCUGUCAUCUCGAGCCCAAAUUGUGGGUGUUGUAAAAGCCAGCCUGCUUUAUACUGUCCUGUGGGAAAUGUACACAGUGAUGCCCAAAGAGUUUAAGCAUUGUUAACAGUGAGUCCCUUGGGCAAGUCUGUUCUUAUUCCACAUUAUACAGACAUAAAGAGCAUCUGCUAGUUUCCUCUUUCCUGAUUACAGGCACUUUUUAUAAUGCAAUAAAAAAGUGAUUGUUUGCACUUUUGCAAACUGUAGCUGACAACACUAAGUGUACCAUAUUGUCACUGCAAUCUUUGAAGUGGGAAUACUGUUAUUCACUCCAUUUUUAGAUGAAGAAACUGAGGCAUGGAGUUCCCAUUGUGGCUCAGCCGAAAUGAACCUGACUAGUAUCCACGAGGACACAGGUUCGUUCUCUGGCCUCCCUCAGUGAGUUAAGGACCUGGUGUUGCCGAGAGCUGUGGUGUAGGUUGCAGAUGCGUCUUGGAUCCUGUGUUGCUGUGGCUGUGGUGUAGGCAGGCAGCUGUAGCUCUGAUUCAACCCCUAGACUGGGAACCUCCAUAUGCCAUGGGUUCGGCCCUUAAAAAAAAAAAAAAGAAAGGAACCAAGGCACAGAGUUGUUAAGUAAUUUAUCCAAGGCUGCACAGAAGAGCUGGAAUUAGCCAUCAGCCUCUCUUGGGAGCCCUGCUCUUAUUGCCUCCACUCCACUGCUCUUCUCAGAGGUAGCACAGGAAAUUACAUUUCCAGCUCUCUCUUGAGAGGGUAUUGAUUCCUUAUUCGACUGAGGAGGCAGGCUCUUCUGCUUAUGAGGAUUUUUAUCUGCUUUUUAGCCCAUGAGCCUAAGCCAGGACUGUUGUCUAGAAGCUUUGGAGUAAAGGAAAGUGUAAAAUUACUGUGGAAACUCAGAGCUGGUAUGUUGAUUAUUUUAUCCUCUCCAACCUUAUGUCCAGUGUUGAAGUUUUGUUUAGUCCUGUGGUCCAGUUUCUGCUUUCAGACUGAUCAAAACAAAGCUCCCCCUCACCACUCCCAAUAGAUGCCUUGGUCUGCACAGUCUAAACCGCAAACCACAUCAGAUGCCAGUGCCCCAAACAUGCCACCCCAUCAGGCACUCUUUGCUGGCCCCUGGGCAAAGUACCUAGAAGUGGAAGCCCUUAGUCAGGCCUUCCCACCAGGGAACAGGGGACUCAGAUGGAACUGCACACAGGACCAUCAAGUCAACCCCUGCUGCAGAGAACUUCAGAUGGGCAGUGUGCUCUGUAUGUGUGAGGCAGCUCCAACGAGGGAGAAAUCAGAUCUGGCUGAGUAGGUGGGGUUCUCCAAGGAAGUGGUCUUUUCUGAGGUAAGAGGAGACUGGAUUUGAGGUAGACCCUCAAAAGUAGGUUGGACCUGGAUGACCAGAGAGAAGAACAUUGCAUGGGCAGAGGUGUGUGCGUGAGCAUCUGGGAAGGUAAGAGAUGGGCUAUGGCCAGAGGCAGGGAGGGAGCACUGUUUUAGGAGUCUCAGGUGAUGAGAUGGGAAAGGUACAGGUGACCCAGGCUCCCCCACAGGGAGCAGGAGAACAUAAACUUUGUUCAUCGGUGUAUGAAGGCAUGGGGCUCAAAAUCUGAUUUUUGUGUACAGCGUGUGGAACCAGUCUUCGCCCUUCAGAGCUAUGUCUUGUGCUGUUUUUGUCUUUUUGUCUUUUCUAGGGCCUUAUAUGGAGGUUCCCAGGCCAGGGGUCCAAUUGGAGCUGCAGCCACCGGCCUACGCCAGAGCCACAGCAACACGGGGUCCGAGCCGCGUCUGCAACCUACACCACAGCUCACAGCAACGCCGGAUCCUCAACCCACUGAGCAAGGUCAGGGAUCGAACCCGCAACCUCAUGGUUCCCAGUCAGAUUCUGGGUGGUACCCACUGCACCACGAUGGGAACUCCCCUGUCUUGUGCUGUUGUAUGUUCUCAUCUCAUUCAAGAAGCUAUGUUUUUAAGUGCCAUGAUCUGCAGUAAAAACUGCAGUCUGUGUUUUCCUCCCACUUGUGUUCUUGAAACCUGUGCUUACAGGACCUUAUGUUACACUCUGGUGUGUUACCGUUAAUCUCAAACUCUGUGUGCUAUAAACAUGAUAGAAAGGUGACGGUUCCAUUCGGGAUAAACUCCAUUGAUCUCUGGGAGGCAGGAUAUUCUUCUCAAGCAUUUUGGGGCAUUUUUGUCUGGGAAGUGGCAUGAGCACAGGAGGAAGUCAGACUGUCUGGGUUUGGCCCACGGUUCUGACACGUAUGACUGGAACCUAUGGUAAGUACUUGUCUAUGCCUCAGAUUUCUCAGCUGAUCUUGACCAUUAAACACAUUCCAUCAGGUACAGUGCUGUAAGCAGUACCUGGUACAUAGUUAAAGAAUGGGUAGCUUAAAUCAUGUGUCCUUGGAGUUCCUGUUGUGGCACAGCAGAAACAAAUUCGACUAGUAUCCAUGAGGAUGCAGGUUCGAUCCCUGGCCUUGCUCAGUGGGUCAGGGAUCUGGCAGCUAUAGAUCUGAUUUGACCCCUAUCCUGGGAAAUUCCAUAUGCUGCAGAUGAGGCCCUCAAAAGCGAAAAGAAAAUAAAAAGUCAUGUGUCCUCAACAGAGGUAACAGUAUCUUCAAGAGGGCAAAAAUUCCUGGAUGGUGUAAUUAGGAAAAAUACUGCCCUUUGAUGGGAGUUUGAGGGGUUUGUGUGUGUG